UACGGGGGGGGCGAGCGUUGUUCGGAAUUACUGGGCGUAAAGGGUUCGUAGGUGGCCAACUAAGUCAGACGUGAAAUCCCUCAGCUUAACUGGGGAACUGCGUCUGAUACUGGUUGGCUUGAGUGCGGGAGAGGAACGCGGAAUUCCAGGUGUAGCGGUGAAAUGCGUAGAUAUCUGGAGGAACACCGGUGGCGAAGGCGGCAUUCUGGACCGAAACUGACGCUGAGGCGCGAAAGCCAGGGGAGCAAACGGG
rnacentral:rRNA from 1 species